AUUGAACGCUGGCGGCAUGCCUUACACAUGCAAGUCGAACGGCAGCACGGGUGCUUGCACCUGGUGGCGAGUGGCGAACGGGUGAGUAAUACAUCGGAACAUGUCCUGUAGUGGGGGAUAGCCCGGCGAAAGCCGGAUUAAUACCGCAUACGAUCUACGGAUGAAAGCGGGGGACCUUCGGGCCUCGCGCUAUAGGGUUGGCCGAUGGCUGAUUAGCUAGUUGGUGGGGUAAAGGCCUACCAAGGCGACGAUCAGUAGCUGGUCUGAGAGGACGACCAGCCACACUGGGACUGAGACACGGCCCAGACUCCUACGGGAGGCAGCAGUGGGGAAUUUUGGACAAUGGGCGAAAGCCUGAUCCAGCAAUGCCGCGUGUGUGAAGAAGGCCUUCGGGUUGUAAAGCACUUUUGUCCGGAAAGAAAUCCUUGGCUCUAAUACAGUCGGGGGAUGACGGUACCGGAAGAAUAAGCACCGGCUAACUACGUGCCAGCAGCCGCGGUAAUACGUAGGGUGCGAGCGUUAAUCGGAAUUACUGGGCGUAAAGCGUGUGCAGGCGGUUUGCUAAGACCGAUGUGAAAUCCCCGAGCUCAACCUGGGAACUGCAUUGGUGACUGGCAGGCUAGAGUAUGGCAGAGGGGGGUAGAAUUCCACGUGUAGCAGUGAAAUGCGUAGAGAUGUGGAGGAAUACCGAUGGCGAAGGCAGCCCCCUGGGCCAAUACUGACGCUCAUGCACGAAAGCGUGGGGAGCAAACAGGAUUAGAUACCCUGGUAGUCCACGCCCUAAACGAUGUCAACUAGUUGUUGGGGAUUCAUUUCCUUAGUAACGUAGCUAACGCGUGAAGUUGACCGCCUGGGGAGUACGGUCGCAAGAUUAAAACUCAAAGGAAUUGACGGGGACCCGCACAAGCGGUGGAUGAUGUGGAUUAAUUCGAUGCAACGCGAAAAACCUUACCUACCCUUGACAUGGUCGGAAUCCCGCUGAGAGGUGGGAGUGCUCGAAAGAGAACCGGCGCACAGGUGCUGCAUGGCUGUCGUCAGCUCGUGUCGUGAGAUGUUGGGUUAAGUCCCGCAACGAGCGCAACCCUUGUCCUUAGUUGCUACGCAAGAGCACUCUAAGGAGACUGCCGGUGACAAACCGGAGGAAGGUGGGGAUGACGUCAAGUCCUCAUGGCCCUUAUGGGUAGGGCUUCACACGUCAUACAAUGGUCGGAACAGAGGGUUGCCAACCCGCGAGGGGGAGCUAAUCCCAGAAAACCGAUCGUAGUCCGGAUUGCACUCUGCAACUCGAGUGCAUGAAGCUGGAAUCGCUAGUAGUCGCGGAUCUGCAUGCCGCGGUGAAUACGUUCCCGGGUCU
rnacentral:rRNA from 1 species